rnacentral:rRNA from 1 species
UGGAGGGUUUGAUCCUGGCUCAGAGUGAACGCUGGCGGCGUGGAUUAGGCAUGCAAGUCGAGCGGUCUCGAAAAGACGAACUUCUUGAACUUUUGGAAGUUCCGGCGAAAGUCGGAAUGGAAGAAAGGGAGAGAAGGGAGUUUUUCGGGAUAGCGGCAAACGGGUGAGUAACACGUGGGUUAUCUACCCUAAGAUGAGGGAUAGUCCCGCGAAAGCGGGGGUAAUACCUCGUACACCCCGACGUUAUGUCGGGGGAAAGGUGGCUUAAUCCCGAGUUUCUCGGGAUGCUGCUGUCUUAGGAGGAGCCCGCGUCCUAUCAGCUAGUUGGUAGGGUAAUGGCCUACCAAGGCUAUGACGGGUAGCUGGCCUUAGCGGGUGGUCAGCCACACCGGGACUGAGACACUGCCCGGACUCCUACGGGAGGCUGCAGUCGAGAAUCUUUCCCAAUGCCCGCAAGGGUGAGGAUGCGACGUCGCGUGGAGGAUGAAGGCCUUCGGGUCGUAAACUCCUUUUGUCAGGGAAGAAAACCCUGAGGUUAAUAGCCUUGGGGCUUGACGGUACCUGACGAAUAAGCCACGGCUAACUCCGUGCCAGCAGCCGCGGUAAUACGGAGGUGGCUAGCGUUACUCGGUAUUACUGGGUGUAAAGGGUCCGCAGGCGGCUAAGUAAGUAAGAGGUGAAAUCCUCCGGCUUAACCGGAGAACUGCCUCUUAUACUGCUUAGAUAGAGGGCAAGAGAGGAGAGCGGAACUGCCGGUGUAAGGGUGAAAUCUGUGGAUAUCGGCAGGAACACCAGUGGCGAAGGCGGCUCUCUGGCUUGCUCCUGACGCUCAGGGACGAAAGCUAGGGGAGCAAACAGGAUUAGAUACCCUGGUAGUCCUAGCUGUAAACGAUGGGCACUGGGUGUUUGCCUUUUAGGUGAGCGCCGAAGCUAACGCGUUAAGUGCCCCACCUGGGGACUACGGUCGCAAGGCUAAAACUCAAAGGAAUUGACGGGGGCCCGCACAAGCGGUGGAACACGUGGUUUAAUUCGAUGCUACGCGAGGAACCUU